UACGGGGGGGGGCAAGCGUUGUUCGGAAUUACUGGGCGUAAAGGGCGCGUAGGCGGUUCGAUAAGUCAGCUGUGAAAACCAUGGGCUUAACUCAUGGCCUGCAGUUGAGACUGUCGGGCUGGAGUGUGGGAGAGGAGAGUGGAAUUCCUGGUGUAGCAGUGAAAUGCGUAGAUAUCAGGAGGAAUACCGAUGGCGAAGGCAGGUCUCUGGGCUGACACUGACGCUCAUGCACGAAAGCGUGGGGAGCAAACAGG
rnacentral:rRNA from 1 species